rnacentral:rRNA from 1 species
GCGGAGGAAAAGAAACCAACAGGGAUUGCCCCAGUAACGGCGAGUGAAGCGGCAACAGCUCAAAUUUGAAAUCUGGUCCCCCCGCGGGGCCCGAGUUGUAAUUUGAAGAGGAUGCUUCUGGCAAGGUGCCGUCCGAGUUCCCUGGAACGGGACGCCGCAGAGGGUGAGAGCCCCGUACGGUCGGACGCCGAGCCUCUGUGAAGCUCCUUCGACGAGUCGAGUAGUUUGGGAAUGCUGCUCAAAAUGGGAGGUAAACCCCUUCUAAAGCUAAAUACCGGCCAGAGACCGAUAGCGCACAAGUAGAGUGAUCGAAAGAUGAAAAGCACUUUGAAAAGAGAGUUAAAAAGCACGUGAAAUUGUUGAAAGGGAAGCGCUUGCGACCAGACUCGCGCCCGUCGGAUCAGCCGUCGCUCGUCGGCGGCGCACUCCGGCGGGCUCGGGCCAGCAUCAGUUCGCCUCGGGGGGAGAAAGGCGGCGGGAAUGUGGCUCCACGGAGUGUUAUAGCCCACCGCGUAAUACCCCCGGGCGGACUGAGGACCGCGCGUAUGC